AGGACGAACGCUGGCGGCGUGCUUAAAACAUGCAAGUCGAGCGGAAAGGCCCUUCGGGGUACUCGAGCGGCGAACGGGUGAGUAACACGUGAGUAACCUGCCCCUAGCUUCGGGAUAGCUCCGGGAAACCGGAAUUAAUACCGGAUAUGACCACGGCCGACAUCGGCCACGGUGGAAAGAUUCAUCGGCUAGGGAUGGGCUCGCGGCCUAUCAGCUUGUUGGUGGGGUAACAGCCUACCAAGGCGACGACGGGUA
rnacentral:rRNA from 1 species